ACUGAACCUUAUCAUUUAGAGGAAGGAGAAGUCGUAACAAGGUUUCCGUAGGUGAACCUGCGGAAGGAUCAUUGUAGAAACCUUGCACAGCAGAACAACCCGUGAACCGGUMMAACACAACCUGGGGGCGAGGGGCCAACCCCGAACCCCCUUGGYUGGGUGGGCGGCGACCCAGGCGUCGAUGGCCGAUGCCUGCUGUCAUCGCCUUCCCCGCCGCAUAAACGAACCCGGGCGCAAAACGCGCCAAGGAACUGAAACGAAUCAAGCAUUGCCCCGGCGCCCCAGAGAUGGUUCGCGCUCGGGGUGCUGCGUCGUAUUCUAUAUGUCAAAACGACUCUCGGCAACGGAUAUCUCGGCUCUCGCAUCGAUGAAGAACGUAGCGAAAUGCGAUACUUGGUGUGAAUUGCAGAAUCCCGUGAACCAUCGAGUCUUUGAACGCAAGUUGCGSCCGAAGCCACUAGGCUGAGGGCACGUCUGCCUGGGCGUCACACAACGUUGCCCCCCCAACUCCACCCCCUCUUUGAGGGGGRACGGGGGGCGGAUGCUGGCCUCCCGUGCGCCAUUGCUCGCGGCUGGCCCAAAUGCGAGCACUCGGCGACGAGCGCCGCGGCAAUCGGUGGUUGUCCAACCCUCGGUGCAACGCUGCGUGCGCGAGCCUCUCAUUCGUGCUCGUCGGCCCCAUCGCGCCGCAAACGCGGCGUUCACAACGCGACCCCAGGUCAGGCGGGGCUACCCGCUGAGUUUAAGC
rnacentral:rRNA from 1 species